CUGUCUUUCAGAGGUCUCUGUCUCUCUCUCUCUAGUUUUUGCUCUGGUAGCUUAUUCCAUUUUGUGAACGGCUUUAGAAAUAUUUUUGCAUCUCCUGUAGUAGAAACGUUGCUUUUUUUUUUUUUUUUCCUACUUGUGUUAUUGGAUUGUGAUAUUCUUUAUUCAUAUGCCUUUUGAGGGCCAUGUUUUUCAGCCUUCUAUUUGAAGCUAGUGAAUUGCUUUUCAAAAACAUGAAGAUCGGUACAAGAACAUUGUGGCAAGAAAUAUCACUUUGCUCGGGAAGUGGUUAUGGAGAUUCCUCAAUGAGAGCAACUCUUUAUGGCAAUCUAUUAUUAACAGUAAAUAUAGGGCUUAUGAGAGUGGAAAUCUCCAUGGAAAUCUAUUUCUCACACCCUUCCUUUGUUCUCUUGUUUUUUAUCCUUGAAGGUGGAAAUGGUGAGUGUUCUGUUUUGGGAGGAUGCUCGGGCAAGGGAUUUUCUUUUCGAUGUGUUGUUUCCAUGUUUAUAUUGUUUUUUUCCAUUGCAUCUAUAGCAAAUUUCCAUUUGUCUCUGAUCCCAUGGAGUUGCAUGGUGAAUCGGUUGAAUUGGACCUAAUCUUAGUGAUUCUCGGGUUUGGUCUCUCCAUCCCUCAGAUUUUCUCAUGUGAAUUGUUUUUUUCAUAGAAUUAUUGAUGAUCUCAUAAUGCUCCUCUUUUUUUCACAUUUUAAAAGGAUUUGGAAAUUGGUUUGGACUCUUAACGUAAAGUUUUUUUUUUGUUGACUUUGGCUUGUAGUUGUCUCAUGGCCAGUGGCAUUUUUUUAAGAUAGAGACCAAAUUGUUUUCUUUGGCCUCAAUGGUGUAUUAUGUGUGUAGGAGGAAUGAGGAGUCUCUAGAUUAUUUAUUUUUACGUUGCUCUUUGGUGAUGACUUUGUGGCAUAGUCAUUUUCGAUUGGCACUAGUUGGGUGGCGCUGGCUUCUUGCUCUCAAUCUCUUUCGAUUGGCACUUGUUGUGUAGUGCAUUUAAACGCAAAGAAUUUGCUUUUUAGGAUUGGUUUGAAUAUUGAGGGUGGGAUCUCAGACAAAAAAAGUUGUUCAGUGUUUAAUUUACUAUUUCUUUCUUUUACUUCUAUGCCUACAUGUUCAUGAAGCAGACAACUAUUUCUUUGAAAAACAAACCAUUUCUUGUUUCGAAAAGCAUGGUGUACAGUUCUGCAGGUCGUAAAGCAAAUGUUUUUAGCCCUCUCGGGGACUUGCUUAAGAAUAAGAAAGAGGAACCUCAUGUAAAUACCAUGGAAUAAGGUUUGAUCCUAUUCAUGGAGAUUUCGUAAAUAUUCCAUUCCAAAAAUAGAAAGUUCGAAACAAUUGAGUUUUUUUUGGAAAUUGGAUGCAGUUACUAAUUCAUAAUCUGGCAUGUACAAAAUGAAAACUUCAUUCUCAAUUCUAUGAGAAUUUUUAUGAAAACCUUUCAUUUGCUUCUUUUCGACGAACGUUUUAUUUUCCCAGAGUGUAUCCUAAUAUUUGGCCUAAUUCUUCUUCUGAUGAUUCGAUUCAACCUCUGAUUAAAAAGAUAUACCUUGAUUAUAUUUCAUCUCUUCAACAAGUUUAGUAAUGAGCAUAACGGCCUGUCGUUCUAUUUCCUUUAGCCAGUAUCGAGACUCUAAGAGUCUUUGCGCUUUAUCCACCACAGGUGCUUUAGUGUCACUUUCGGGUUGAAAGGCACAAGGGGAUCUUGAAUCAAUUCCUUCUUUGCUAGUAGCUAGUUUAGACGUGGCAAGCGGUUCGAGUCAAGUGCCAAUUAAAGAACCAAUUGUUGAACUAGAGUAACAAAUAUGAAGUAAAUGACUUGGUCUCUUCGUUCUUGCACUUGCUACUCCUGGCCUCUUCUGAAAAGUGAUGUUGACCAAAUAAAGUAUCCUUUUGUGGUGGUGUGGCAGUUAUGGCAGUGGUAGUGUGAUGAUGCGGAGAGUUUCUAGGGGAGUAGGUCACCAAAGGGGAAUAGUCGGUGGAAGAGGUUGGAAAAUGGUGAUUGGAGAUUCUCAUCGGAAAUUCACUAGCGACCAGUGGCUGGAAAACAAUUGUCAGAAGCCAGAGAUGACCGCCGGUGGUGGGGGCCGACAAUGGCUGGCGGUUGUGAAGGUGGAAAGCUAUGAAGCACGGAUACUCCGAAAUAGUCCCCGUACGCGUAUCGGAUACGGAUACGCGCUCGAUACGGCGGGAUACGUAUCAGAUACGGGAAAUGAAGUAUCCAAUUUUUUUUUUUAAUUUUUGAAUUUCGGAUACGGCUAGGAUACGCGAGGAUACGGUCAGGAUACGGUCAGGAUACAGUAUGGAUACGGCGGGGCAAAAAAAUAAUUUAAAACACUUAAAAAUGGGUCAAAUUGUAAACUAUGAAAAAAAGAUGAAAUAAAACACAAAAAAAAAGAAAAAUAAUAAACAACUAAACUCUCUCUUACCUAGGUCGAACAGCAGCCGCGAAGGAGGAGGAGAAGGAGUUCGUCGUCGUCUCGAACAACAGCUCGCCGAUCGUCGAUCUGGUUCGCGAACAGGAGCUCCACGAUCGUUGAUCAGGGUAAGGCAAAGGGCGGUGUGUCAAGAGAGUUUGCUAAAAGACUGUCCCCCGGGAUCCACCACAGGUUGGGUUUGAGAGCCGUGUGAUGGGUGACUAGUUGAAUUGUUUAUGCGCGCAUAGAUGCAAUUUCCAUGACUUGACCAUAUGUGGAGCUCUCGAAUCUAGGGGAGGAGUCUAGUAAAAUUUCACUUGGAUCAUUUUUGUAAUAUUUGACAUUUCUUCUUGAUGAAGGAAACUUUUUGACUUCUCCUUAUGCAGGAAAAGCUGAGCUCAAAUGGCGAUUUUAACUUGUCAAGAAUCUAGACUUGUGGAUGCAUUAUGCAUUUACAUUUGUAUAUCCAGACACAUAUACAUCCCUAGAAGUACUUUUGAAUUAGCUAUGCUUUACAAAAUUUAGGGUGAUAUUUUUUUUUCUUCUUUUCUUUUGAUGAAUAAGUGUUUUAUUACAAGAAAAAAAAAAA